rnacentral:rRNA from 1 species
ACGAAGGGUGCAAGCGUUAAUCGGAAUUACUGGGCGUAAAGGGUGCGUAGGCGGGUCUUUAAGUCAGGGGUGAAAUCCUGGAGCUCAACUCCAGAACUGCCUUUGAUACUGAGGAUCUCGAGUUCGGGAGAGGUGAGUGGAACUGCGAGUGUAGAGGUGAAAUUCGUAGAUAUUCGCAGGAACACCAGUGGCGAAGGCGACUCGCUGGUCUUUUGCUGACGCUGAGACGCGAAAGCGUGGGGAGCAAACAGGA